CCUACGGGAGGCAGCAGUGAGGAAUAUUGGUCAAUGGACGAGAGUCUGAACCAGCCAAGUAGCGUGAAGGAUGACUGCCCUAUGGGUUGUAAACUUCGUUUAUAUGGGAAUAAAAUGUUCCACGUGUGGGAUUUUGUAUGUACCAUAUGAAUAAGGAUCGGCUAACUCCGUGCCAGCAGCCGCGGUAAUACGGAGGAUCCGAGCGUUAUCCGGAUUUAUUGGGUUUCACGGGAGCGUAGGUGGAUUGUUAAGUCAGUUGUGAAAGUUUGCGGCUCAACCGUAAAAUUGCAGUUGACACUGGCAGUCUUGAGUACAGUAGAGGUGGGCGGAAUUCGUGGUGUAGCGGUGAAAUGCUUAGAUAUCACGAAGAACUCCGAUUGCGAAGGCAGUUCACUGGACUGCAACUGACACUGAGGCUCGAAAGUGUGGGUAUCAAACAGGAUUAGAUACCCCAGUAGUC
rnacentral:rRNA from 1 species